ACAGCUCAGUAACACGUGGACAACCUACCCAAAGGUCUGGGAUAACUCCGGGAAACUGGGGAUAAUACCGGAUAGGUCAAGAGUACUGGAAGGGUUUUUUGAUUGAAAGCUCUGGCGCCUUUGGAUGGGUCUGCGGCUGAUUAGGUUGACGCCGGUGUAAAGUACCGGCGUGCCGAUUAUCAGUACGGGUUGUGGGAGCAAGAGCCCGGAGAUGGAUUCUGAGACACGAAUCCAGGCCCUACGGGGCGCAGCAGGCGCGAAAACUCUACAAUGCAGGCAACUGCGAUAGGGGAACAUCGAGUGGCAUCUACAUUAGGUGUCUGUCCAGCUGUCUAAAAAACGGCUGUUAGCAAGGGCCGGGCAAGACCGGUGCCAGCCGCCGCGGUAAUACCGGCGGCUCGAGUGGUGGCCGAUAUUAUUGAGUCUAAAGGGUCCGUAGCCGGCUUUGCAAGUCUUGUGGGAAAUCCAGCGGCUUAACCGUUGGGCGUCUGCGGGAUACUACAUUGCUUGGGACUGGGAGAGGUAGGAGGUACUCAGGGGGUAGGAGUGAAAUCCUGUAAUCCUCUGGGGACCACCGGUGGCGAAGGCGUCCUACCAGAACAGGUCCGACGGUGAGGGACGAAAGCUAGGGGCACGAUCCGGAUUAGAUACCCGGGUAGUCCUAGCCGUAAACGAUGCCCGCUAGGUGUCACGGCAGUCGUGAACUGCCGUGGUGCCGUAGGGAAGCCGUGAAGCGGGCCACUUGGGAAGUACGACCGCAAGGUUGAAACUUAAAGGAAUUGGCGGGGGAGCAC
rnacentral:rRNA from 1 species